GAAAUGCGAUACGUAAUGUGAAUUGCAAAUUCAGUGAAUCAUCGAGUCUUUGAACGCACAUUGCGCCCCCUGGUAUUCCGGGGGGCAUGCCUGUCCGAGCGUCAUUUCUGCCCUCAAGCACGGCUUGUGUGUUGGGCCCCGUCCUCCGAUCCCGGGGGACGGGCCCGAAAGGCAGCGGCGGCACCGCGUCCGGUCCUCGAGCGUAUGGGGCUUUGUCACCCACUCUGUAGGCCCGGCCGGCGCUUGCCGAUCAACCCAAAUUUUUAUCCAGGUUGACCUCGGAUCAGGUAGGGAUACCCGCUGAACUUAAGC
rnacentral:misc_RNA from 1 species